CACAUGCUGUAACCGCUCCGAUCGGGUUAAAGUACAGGCUGUUUACAGUCCUGUCACCUAGGAUUAGGCGAGUCUGAGACAUGAG
rfam:Paenibacillus pini JCM 16418 DNA, contig: contig00017.